UACGAAGGGGGCUAGCGUUGCUCGGAAUCACUGGGCGUAAAGGGCGCGUAGGCGGCCUGAUAAGUAGGGGGUGAAAUCCUGAGGCUUAACCUCAGGGCUGCCUUCUAAACUGUCAGGCUCGAGCACAGUAGAGGCAGGUGGAAUUCCCGGUGUAGCGGUGGAAUGCGUAGAUAUCGGGAGGAACACCAGAGGCGAAGGCGGGCUACUGGGCUGAUACUGACGCUGAUGCGCGAAAGCCAGGGGAGCAAACGGG
rnacentral:rRNA from 1 species